rnacentral:rRNA from 1 species
UAACCUGCCUUGGAGUGGGGAAUAACAGCUGGAAACAGCUGCUAAUACCGCAUAAUGCAGUUGGGUCGCAUGGCUCUGACUGCCAAAGAUUUAUCGCUCUGAGAUGGACUCGCGUCUGAUUAGCUAGUUGGUGGGGCAACGGCCCACCAAGGCGACGAUCAGUAGCCGGCCUGAGAGGGUGGCCGGCCACACUGGGACUGAGACACGGCCCAGACUCCUACGGGAGGCAGCAG